UUGACUUUGGUCCUCGAAGUGCUCCAUCAGACCUGACAUUCAUAGCAUGACUCAUACUAGAGAAAAAGGCAGCAAACAACCCCAAGACCUUGCAACCUCUUGAUUGACUCGAUCCAGGUUAUUGGGAAGAUUUGCUGGAAUGAAGGAAAUCCAAGAUGGAGUCUCAGAGGAGUUCUCAAAAACAAACCACACGGCAAGAUCGCAGCACGGUGCCAGAAGAAGCUACAUCAUUUUAAGCACUCCAUCUGCUCCCACUUUCUUAGCUAUAUGGAGAACUUCAAGUCCCUAAGACAGCUAAUCCAGUGUUCCCAUAAGGGUACACUCAUCGCUACCAUUUAUAUUAAGCUAAUUAUUGUAAAAUAUCUAAAUUGGAACAUCUGCAAAUGUAUUGUCUUAAUAAUAGGAUCAGAGGCAGAUCUAAAUAAAUACACUUCUCUCAAGA